GCCGUCUGAACCCUUCGGGGGGACGACGGUGGAAUGAGCGGCGGACGGGUGAGUAACACGUAAAGAACCUGCCCAUAGGUCUGGGAUAACCACGAAAAAUCGGGGCUAAUACCGGAUGUGUCAUCGGACCGCAUGGUCCGCUGAUGAAAGGCGCUUCGGCGUCGCCCAUGGAUGGCUUUGCGGUGCAUUAGCUAGUUGGUGGGGUAACGGCCCACCAAGGCGACGAUGCAUAGCCGACCUGAGAGGGUGAUCGGCCACACUGGGACUGAGACACGGCCCAGACUCCUACGGGAGGCAGCAGUAGGGAAUCUUCCACAAUGGACGAAAGUCUGAUGGAGCAACGCCG
rnacentral:rRNA from 1 species